rnacentral:tRNA from 1 species
GUCAGGAUCGCCGAGCGGUCCAAGGCGCUGCGUUCAGGUCGCAGUCCACUCUGUGGGCGUGGGUUCGAAUCCCACUCCUGACA